rnacentral:rRNA from 1 species
AAUAUUGGACAAUGGGCGGAAGCCUGAUCCAGCCAUGCCGCGUGUGUGAAGAAGGUCUUCGGAUUGUAAAGCACUGUAAUUUGGGAGGAGGGGCAGUUAACGAAUACUUAACUGUUUUGACGUUACCAUAAGAAUAAGCACCGGCUAACUUCGUGCCAUCAGCCGCGGUAAUACGAAGGGUGCAAGCGUUAAUCGGAAUUACUGGGCGUAAAGCGCGCGUAGGUGGUGUGUCCAGUUGGAAGUGAAAGCCCCGGGCUCAACCUGGGAACUGCUUUCAAAACUGGCAAGCUAGAGUAUGGCAGAGGGUGGUGGAAUUUCCUGUGUAGCGGUGAAAUGCGUAGAUAUAGGAAGGAACAUCAGUGGCGAAGGCGACCACCUGGGCUAAUACUGACACUGAGGUGCGAAAGCGUGGGGAGCAAACAGG